rnacentral:lncRNA from 1 species
GGAUGGAUAAUUGCUUUGUUGUUGUUGUUGUUUUUUCCUACACUCAGUUUUUUUAAGCCAUGUGUCCCUAAUUUGUUAGUGAAUUUUAUCAAGUCAAAUUAAAUAUGGAUGAAACUAAAUUAAUCCCUGAUUUCUUGAGUGCAUUAACUGUGUAGACCAGUACAGUCCAAAAAUUAGCUUUGUCUUUAUCAAAGGGGAAACAUUUUAUAUAACACUCACUGUUGUUGAUGCAUUUUCUCUUGUCUCACCUUAUUCUAUUCCCUUUCCUUAUCAGUCAAAUUCAGAUGCUGCUGGUGGUGCUGCUGCUGAUACACUUGCAGGAGAUUUUGUGGCUCCCAAAAAAGCCUCUUCAGUUCAGCCUGCUAUGAUUCCAUCUUCACAAACCCAGCAGCAAGUUGCAGACAAGAAGGUGAAAUCUAAAUCAAAGAAACAAACACAAGGUGACACAUCAACGACUGACAAACGGACAGAGCAUUCAGGGACAGAUGUGGCAACUAAAACCCCCAGUAAGAAAAGCAGCAGAAGCUAAGUCUAAGGUUCCAAGAGGAAAUGUUCCCUGAUCCUUGACAAUAUAUGACAUAUAUGCUGAAGAGAACAGAUGUCACUUCCGUGAACUGCUUUACUAAACUUUAACUACUCUGCGGUUGAAGAUUAAAGUAUCCAAGAUAAAAAUGCACACCAUCAGCAAAGAUUUUCUUGCUUGCUUCUCCACUUUAGUCAUCUACAGUUGCCUUAUUUUGGUAGAAAAUCUUUACAUGAAUUAAAUCAAAAGCAAUUUUUUUUCAGAAAAGGAAUGGAAGAGUACAUAAAAUUCUUUUAUGUUUUGAAAUGGUGUUUUACCUCUUAAGGGGUGUUGGAAUGUCAAUUAUAUUGAGUGACUUAUGACAGUCUAUAAUGUAGGGUGUAUGGGUGAAAAUUAUCAAAUUAUAGCAAUGCAUGUAUAUGGAUAAUUUGAUUUCAAGGCAAUAAAAUUUUUUUACAAUAUAACUUUAACA